ensembl:snRNA U4 U4 spliceosomal RNA
AGCUUUGUGCAGUGGCAGUAUCAUAGCCAAUGAGGUUUAUCCGAGGUGCGAUUAUUGCUAAUUGGAAUAUGAAUUUCAAGGUAUCCUCAGAAAAUGAAACAAAAGGUAUGAAGAUGCUGAUAAAUA